CCAGUACUUCAGGCGACCAGCUAAGAAAAAUAAAGGAAAUAAGGGAAACAACGGAAACAACAGAAAUAACGGAAAUAACCUCCAGUGAACAGAAAACACAGUCCAGUACAUCAGAUGACUGGCUAAGAAAAAUAACGGAAAUAACUUAAAUAAAGGAAAUGAAUAACCUCCACUGAGCCGGAAACACACUCCAGCACUUCACAUGACAGAAUAAGAACAAUAACGGAAAUAACAGAAAUGAAUAAUCUCCAGUGAGCUGGAAACACACUCCAGCAUUUCAGAUGAUAGACUAAGAACAAUAACGGAAAGGACAGAAAUGACAGAAAUAAAUAACCUCCAAUGAGCAGGAAACGCAAUCUAGCACAUCAGGUGGCUGGCUAAGAAAAAGAAUGGAAAUAACGGAAAUAGACACCAGUGAGCAGGAAAUACAGUCCAGCACAUCAGGUGACAGACUAAACAAUAAUGGAAAGGAUAGAAAGGGCAGGAAGGAUGGAAAGGACAGAAAUAAAUAACCUCCAGUGAGCAGGAAACGCAGUCCAGUACUUCAGGUGACUGGCCAAGAAAAAUAACGGCAGUAACAGAAAUAACAGAAAUAGACACCAAUGAGCAGGAAAUGCAGUCCAGCACAUCAGGCAACAGGCUAAGAAAAAGAAUGGAAAUAAUGAAAAUAAAUAACCUCCAGUGAGCAGGAAACACACUCCAGCACUACAGAUGACAAACUAAGAAGAAUAACGGAAAUAAAUAACCUGCAACAAGCUGUAAGCACACUCCAGCACUUCAGAGGACAGACUGAGAAGAAUAACGGAAAUAAUGGAAAAAAUGGAAAUAAAUAACCUCCAGUGAACCGGAAAUACACUCCAGCCGUCCAGAUGACAGACUAAGAAGAAUAACAGAAAUAACGGAAAUAAAUGAAGUCCAGUGAGCUGGGAACACAUUCCAGCAAUAUACAUGACAAACUAAGAUAAAUAACGAAAACAACGGAAACAACGAAAACAGAACAGAACUUCCAGUGAGCAGGAAACACAGUCCAGUACAUCAGGUUACAGUCUAAUUAAAAUAAUGGAAAAAACAGAAAUAACCGCCAGUGAGCAAGAAACACAGUCCAGCACAUCAGGUGACAGACUAAGAAAAAGAAUGGAAAUAACAGAAAUAACUAACCUCCAGUGAGCAGGAAACGCAGUCCAGUACUUCAGGUGGCUGGCUAAGAAAAAGAAUGGAAAUAACGGAAAUAACUAACCUCCAGGGAUCCGGAAACACACUCCAACACUUCAGAUGACAGACAAAGAAAAAGAACAUAAAUAAUGGAAAUAAAGGAAAUAAUAGAAAUAACGGAAAUAGCCCCCAGUGAGCAGGAAACACAUUCCAGUACAUCAGGUGACCAGCUAUGAAAAAUAACAAAAAAAUGGAAAUAACGGAAAAAAUGGAAAUAACAGAAAUAACAGAAAUAAGAGAAAUAACAGAAAUAACAGAAAUAAUAGAAAUAAAUAACCUCUAGUGAGUAGAAAACGCAGACCAGUACUUCAGAUGACCGGUAAGAAAAAUAAGAGAAAUAAUGGAAAUAACGGAAAUAACUAACCUCCAAGGAACAAGAAACACACUCCAGCACUUCAGAUGACAGACAAAGAACAAGAACGGAAAUAAUGGAAAUAACCUCCAGUGAGCAGGAAACGCAGUCCAGUACUUCAGGUGACUGGUUAAGAAAAAUAAUGGAAAAAACAUAAAUAAUGAAAAUAGACUCCAGUGAACAGGAAACACAGUUGAGCACAUCAGGUUACAGACAAAAAAAAAUGGAAAUAACGGAAAUACCAGAAAUGAAUAAACUCCAGUGAGCAGGAAACGCAGUCCAGUGCUUCAGGUGAUGGGCUAAGAAAAAUAUCUUAAAUAAUGGAAAUAAUGAAAAUAAAUAACUUCCAGUGAGCCAGAAACACACUUCAGCACUUCAGAUGACAGACUAAGAACAAUAGUGGAAAUAACGGAAACGACGGAAACAACAGAAACAACAGAGACAACAGAAACAACAAAUCUCCAGUGAGUCGGAAACACACUCCAGCACCUCCAAUGACAGACUAAGAACAAGAAUGGAAAUAACGGAAAUAACAGAAAUAACCUCUAAUAGGGAGGAAACGCAGUCCAGUACUUCAGCUGACCGGCUAAGAAAAAUAACAGAAAUAACGGAAAUAACAGAAAUGAAUUACCCUCCAGGGAGCCGUAAACACACUCCAGCACUUCAGAUGGCAGACUAAAAACAAUAACAGAAAUAACGGAAAAACCGGAAAUAAUGGAAACAGACUCCACUUAGCAGGAAACACAGUGCAGCACAUUAGGAGACAGACAAAGAAAAAGAACAGAAAUAUUGGAAAUAAUGAAAAUAACAGAAAUAACACAAGUAGCAGAAAUAACAGAAACAAGAGAAACAAGAGAAACAACUGACCUCCAGGGAGCCAUAAACAUACUCCAGCACUUCAGAUGACAGACUAAGAACAAGAAUGGAAAUAACAACAACAACAACAACAACAACAAAAACAGAAACAGAAAGAAUGGACAGAAUGGAAAAAAUGGAAAAAACCUCCAUUAGUGAGGAAACACACUCCAGUACUUUAGUGACCGGCUAAGAAAAAUAACGGAAAUAACAGAAAUAACAUAAAUGAAUAACUGCCAGGGACCCGGAAACAUACUCCAGCAUUCCACAUGAAAGAAUGAGAGGAAUAAUGGAAAAAACGGAAAUAACGGAAAUAAAUAACCUCCAGUUAGCAAAAAAAAAAAAAAAAAAAGAAAAAUAAACAAACAAACAAACACAGUCCAAUACUUCUGAUAACCGGCUAAGAACAAUAACAGUAAUAACGGAAACAACACAAAGAACUGAAAUAACAUCCUGUCAGCUGGAAUCACACUCCAGCAAUUCAGAUGACAGACUAAGAACAAUAACGGAAAUAAUGGAAAUAACCUCCAUUGAGCUGGAAACACACUCCAGAAUUUUAGAUGACAGGCCAAGAAGAAUAAUGGAAAAACAGACAUAAUGGAAAAAGCAGAAAAAACCUCCAGUGAGAUGGAAACACACUCCAGAAUUUUAGCUGACAGACUAAGAAGCCUAAUGGAGAUAACGGACCUAACGGACAUAACCUCUAGUGAGCUGGAAACACACUCCUGGAAUUCAGAUGAUAGACAAAGAAGAAUAACGGAAAAAAUUGGAAAAAAAAAAAAAAAGAAAAAAUGGAAAAAAUGGAAAUAACGG
rnacentral:lncRNA from 1 species